CUUGACUUGGCAGAUAAAUGCCUUUGAUUUAGGAUCAAUUUAUAAUAUAUAAUAUUAGUCGGUG
rnacentral:tRNA from 1 species